rnacentral:rRNA from 1 species
CAUGCGGAUGCUUACCUGCAAGUCGAACGAGACAAAAGAGAAGUGCUUGCACGGAUCUUUUAGAAAGUGGCGAACGGGUGAGUAACGCGUGGGUAACCUGCCCUAUGGAAAGGAAUAGCCUCGGGAAACUGGGAGUAAUGCCUUAUAAUACAGUGAAGUCGCAUGGCUUUGCUGUUAAACGCUCCGGUGCCAUAGGAUGGACCCGCGUCCCAUUAGCUAGUUGGUGAGAUAACAGCCCACCAAGGCGACGAUGGGUAACCGGUCUGAGAGGGCGAACGGUCACACUGGAACUGAGACACGGUCCAGACUCCUACGGGAGGCAGCAGUGGGGAAUAUUGCGCAAUGGGGGAAACCCUGACGCAGCAAUACCGCGUGAGUGAAGAAGGUUUUCGGAUCGUAAAGCUCUGUUAUUGGGGAAGAAAAAAGACGGUACCCAAGAAGAAAGUCCCGGCUAACUACGUGCCAGCAGCCGCGGUAAUACGUAGGGGACAAGCGUUGUCCGGAUUUACUGGGCGUAAAGGGCACGCAGGCGGUUUUUUAAGUCAGAUGUGAAAGGUACCGGCUCAACCGGUGACAUGCAUUUGAAACUGAAAGACUUGAGUAUUGGAGAGGCAAGUGGAAUUCCUAGUGUAGCGGUGAAAUGCGUAGAUAUUAGGAGGAACACCGGUGGCGAAGGCGGCUUGCUGGACAAAUACUGACGCUGAGGUGCGAAAGCGUGGGGAGCAAACAGGAUUAGAUACUCUGGUAGUCCACGCCGUAAACGAUGAGUGCUAGGUGUUGGGGAGACUCAGUGCCGCAGCUAACGCAAUAAGCACUCCGC